AACGUAGGACACAAGCGUUAUCCGGAAUUACUGGGCGUAAAGCGCCUGCAGGCGGCUGGAUAAGUCAUGCGUGAAAGCGCCCGGCUAAACUGGGCGAGGACGGAUGAUACUGUUUGGCUAGAGGGUGAUAGAGGCGAGUGGAAUUCCGCGUGUAGUGGUGAAAUGCGUAGAGAUGCGGAGGAACACCAGUGGCGAAGGCGGCUCGCUGGGUCACACCUGACGCUGAGAGGCGAAAGCAUGGGGAGCGAACGGG
rnacentral:rRNA from 1 species